UACGAAGGGGGCUAGCGUUGUUCGGAAUUACUGGGCGUAAAGCGCACGUAGGCGGAUAUUUAAGUCAGGGGUGAAAUCCCAGAGCUCAACUCUGGAACUGCCUUUGAUACUGGGUAUCUUGAGUAUGGAAGAGGUAAGUGGAAUUGCGAGUGUAGAGGUGAAAUUCGUAGAUAUUCGCAGGAACACCAGUGGCGAAGGCGGCUUACUGGUCCAUAACUGACGCUGAGGUGGCGGAAAAGCGUGGGGAGCAAACAGG
rnacentral:rRNA from 1 species